UCGAGGAUCUUCGGCAAUGGGCGCAAGCCUGACCGAGCGACGCCGCGUGUGCGAUGAAGGCCUUCGGGUUGUAAAGCACUGUCGAGGGGGAGGAAGCCGCAAGGUUGACCUAUCCCUGGAGGAAGCACGGGCUAAGUUCGUGCCAGCAGCCGCGGUAAGACGAACCGUGCGAACGUUGUUCGGAUUCACUGGGCUUAAAGGGCGCGUAGGCGGCGAAUCAAGUCCGGGGUGAAAUCUUUCGGCUCAACCGGAAAAGUGCCUUGGAUACUAGUUCGCUCGAGGGAGGUAGGGGCAGGUGGAACUUCCGGUGGAGCGGUGAAAUGCGUAGAGAUCGGAAGGAACGCCGGUGGCGAAAGCGACCUGCUGGACCUCUUCUGACGCUGAGGCGCGAAAGCUAGGGGAGCAAACGGGAUUAGAUACCCCCGUAGUCC
rnacentral:rRNA from 1 species